rnacentral:lncRNA from 10 species
AGAGCCUGGAGACCGCCGGGAGCCCGACUUCCUGGCGCUUUGCCCUUUGGGGAGCGGAGCCAAGGAACAGCGCCAACCUCUCUCCACAAGCCAGGGACCCUACGACCCACCGCCGCAGGCCAGAACCAGCAGCUGAUUUAGAUACCAUCAAGACACCUAAAACCUUAUCAUGAGCCAGAUGCUGUGGAAGAGAUUCUGGGAGAAUCCUGAGGACCCCCCAGUUGCAGCCAUGUCAAGACUGAUGCUGAGGAGGACCCCAACUGUCACGAGCAACACCCGUCGAACACAGCCACCUACUUGGGGAAAGAUCAAGAAGCUGUCACAGAUGGUGGAAGAAAACCUGAGGAAAGCGGGACAACCAGUCACAAUGAGUAAUUUAAUGAUAGCUAUGAGAGCGGUGAUCACCAUUGCUUCUGCAGAUGCAGAUCCUGACUCCUGCGAGAAGUAGCUCACCGUGAUAAAGCUGCCUUUGCUUUUAUUGCCCUGCAAAAACAAGAAGGGGGAUAUGCUGGGGAAUAGGCCCCCAAAUCUGGACAUAAACUGGCCCCAAAACUGGCCAUAAACAAAAUCUCUGCAGCGCUGUGACAUGUUCAUGGUGGCCAUAACGCCCAUGCUGGAAGGCUGUGGUUUACCGGAAUGAGAGCGAGGAACACCUGGCCUAUCCAGGGCGGAAAACCACUUAUAGGUAUUCCUAAACCACAAACAACCUAUGCCUUAAGGACAUGUUCCUGCUGCAGAUAACUAGCCAGAGCCCAUCCCUUUGUUUCGGCCCAUCCUUUUGUUUCCUGUAAGGAGUGCUUUUAGUUAAUCUAUAAUCUAUAGAAACAAUACUUAUCACUGGCUUGCUGUCAAUAAAUAUGUGGGUAAAUCUCUGCUCAUGGCUCUCAGCUCUGAAGGCUGUGAGUCCCCUGAUUUCCCACUCCACAUGCUAUA